rnacentral:rRNA from 1 species
AMAAGCUGAUGCAGUUAAAAGCUCGUAGUUGGAUUUCGGGUGGGUCUUGACGGUCCGCCUCUGGUGUGUACUGUCAAGGCCUAUCUUUCUGCCGGGGACGGGCUCCUGGGUUUAAUCGCCUGGGACUCGGAGUCGGCGAGGUUACUUUGAGUAAAUUAGAGUGUUCAAAGCAAGCCUACGCUCUGAAUACAUUAGCAUGGAAUAACACGAUAGGACUCUGGCCUAUCUUGUUGGUCUGUAGGACCGGAGUAAUGAUUAAGAGGGACAGUCGGGGGCAUUCGUAUUUCAUUGUCAGAGGUGAAAUUCUUGGAUUUAUGAAAGACGAACUUCUGCGAAAGCAUUUGCCAAGGAUGUUUUCAUUAAUCAAGAACGAAAGUUGGGGGGCUCGAAGA